UACAGAGGGUGCGAGCGUUGUCCGGAAUCACUGGGCGUAAAGGGCGCGUAGGUGGCGGCCCAAGUCCAUGGUGAAAGCUCGAUGCUCAACAUCGAGUCGGCCACGGAUACUGGGUUGCUUGAGCACUGUAGGGGCAGAUGGAAUUCCGGGUGUAGCGGUGGAAUGCGUAGAGAUCCGGAAGAACACCGGUGGCGAAGGCGGUCUGCUGGGCAGUUGCUGACACUGAGGCGCGACAGCGUGGGGAGCAAACAGGG
rnacentral:rRNA from 1 species